rnacentral:rRNA from 1 species
UACGUAGGGUGCAAGCGUUAAUCGGAAUUACUGGGCGUAAAGCGUGCGCAGGCGGUUCUAUAAGACAGAUGUGAAAUCCCCGGGCUCAACCUGGGAACUGCAUUUGUGACUGUAGAGCUGGAGUACGGCAGAGGGGGAUGGAAUUCCGCGUGUAGCAGUGAAAUGCGUAGAUAUGCGGAGGAACACCGAUGGCGAAGGCAGCCCCCUGGGCUAGCACUGACGCUCAGGCACGAAAGCGUGGGGAGCAAACAGG